rnacentral:rRNA from 1 species
UACGUAGGCAGCGAGCGUUGUUCGGAUGUACUGGGCGUAAAGCGUGCGUAGGCGGUUGUCUAAGUUUGGUGUGAAAUCUCCCGCUUAACUGGGAGGGUGCGCCGAAAACUGGGUGACUGGAGUGUCGGAGAGGUAAGCGGAAUUCCUGGUGUAGCGGUGAAAUGCGUAGAGAUCAGGAGGAACACCUGUGGUGUAGACAGCUUACUGGACGAUAACUGACGCUGAGGCACGAAAGCGUGGGUAGCAAACAGG